GGAGGGUGCAAGCGUUAUCCGGAUUUAUUGGGUUUAAAGGGUCCGUAGGCGGAUUAAUCAGUCAGUGGUGAAAUCUCAUAGCUUAACUAUGAAACUGCCAUUGAUACUGUUAGUCUUGAGUGAUGUUGAAGUUGCUGGAAUGUGUAGUGUAGCGGUGAAAUGCUUAGAUAUUACGCAGAACACCAAUUGCGAAGGCAGGUGACUAAACAUCAACUGACGCUGAUGGACGAAAGCGUGGGGAGCGAACAGGAUUAGAUACCCUGGUAGUCCACGCCGUAAACGAUGGAUACUUGCUGUUGGAUUUUCGGAUUCAGUGGCUAAGCGAAAGUUAUAAGUAUCCCACCUGGGGAGUACGUUCGCAAGAAUG
rnacentral:rRNA from 1 species